GAAAGUAAGCAAGGGCAGACGGUGGAUGCCUUGGCUCUCGGAGGCGACGAAGGACGUGAUAAGCUGCGAAAAGCCCGGGGGAGGCGCAAAUAGCCCUUGAUCCCGGGAUAUCCGAAUGGGGCAACCCGGCAGGCUGAAGGCCUGUCAUCCCGUAAGGGAGGCGAACGUGGGGAACUGAAACAUCUAAGUACCCAUAGGAGGAGAAAAUAAACAAUGAUUCCGUAAGUAGUGGCGAGCGAACACGGAAGAGCCCAAACCCAUGUCGUCUAGGCGACACGGGGGUUGUAGGACCACGACGUGGCAAGAAGGAAGGGAAAUGGAACGCCUUGGAAAAGUCGGCCAUAGACGGUGAAAGCCCGGUACAUGACUCCCUUACGAAGCCUAGUGGUAUCCUGAGUAGCGCGGGGCACGAGAAAUCUUGCGUGAAACAGCGGGGCCCAUCCCGUAAGGCUAAAUACUCCCGAGAGACCGAUAGCGAACCAGUACCGUGAGGGAAAGGUGAAAAGAACCCCGAGCAGGGGAGUGAAAUAGACCCUGAACCCGUCUGCCUACAAGCGGUCGGAGCGUCGUAAUGACGUGACGGCGUGCCUUUUGCAUAAUGAACCUACGAGUUACCUUCCCCGGCAAGGUUAAGUACCUAAGGUACGGAGCCGAAGCGAAAGCGAGUCUGAACAGGGCGCCAAGUCGGGGGGGGUAGACGCGAAACCGAGUGAUCUACCCUUGGCCAGGUUGAAGGUUGGGUAACACCAACUGGAGGACCGGAUGGGUAAGCGUUGAAAAGCUUUCCAAUGAGCUGAGGGUAGGGGUGAAAGGCUAAUCAAACUCGGAGAUAGCUCGUACUCCCCGAAAUGCAUUUAGGUGCAGCCUCUUUAUAGUAUAUCGUGAGGUAGAGCGACUGAUUGGAUGCGAGGGCUUCACCGCCUAUCAAGUCCAGAUAAACUCCGAAUGCGCGAUAUAUAUUUACAGGGAGUGAGGGCGCGGGUGCUAAGGUCCGUGUCCGAGAGGAGAAGAAUCCAGACCACCGGCUAAGGCCCCCAAAUGAUCGUUAAGUUGAACUAACGAGGUCGGAUCGCAGAGACAGCUAGGAUGUUGGCUUGGAAGCAGCCAUUCAUUUAAAGAGUGCGUAACAGCUCACUAGUCGAGCGAUCUGGCGUGGAUAAUAAUCGGGCAUAAACGAUCUGCCGAAGCCGUGGAUGUCGCAAGACAUGGUAGGGGAGCAUUCCAUGCCGCGUCGAAGAUGAGGGGUGACCCUUGUUGGAGCGCAUGGAAAAGCAAAUGUAGGUAUGAGUAACGAUAAGGGGGGCGAGAAACCCCCCCGCCGAAAGACCAAGGUUUCCUGAUCAACGCUAAUCGGAUCAGGGUGAGUCGGGACCUAAGGCAAAGCCGAACGGCGCCGCCGAUGGAAGAAUGGGUUAAUAUUCCCAUACUGCCUCAUGGAGUGACGUGGAGACGGAGAAGUGACAGUCCUGCCGGCUGACGGAAUAGCCGGUUGAAGGGUGUAGAUAUUGAUUCCCGUAGGCAAAUCCGCGGGGAGAGUCGAACCUGAGAGUAUACGGAGCGCUUGCGCAACGUAAUAUGGACGUAACCAUGCUCCCGAGAAAAUCCGCUAAACUUAUCCAUGCGGCACCCGUACCGUAAACGGACACACGUGGUCGGGUUGAGAAUACUGAGGCGCUCGAGUGAUUCACGGUUAAGGAACUAGGCAAAUUGACCCUGUAACUUCGGGAUAAAGGGUCCUCGUCGUAAGGCGAGGCGCAGAGAAUAGGUCCAGGCAACUGUUUAACAAAAACACAUGGCUGUGCUAAAUGGAAACAUGAUGUAUACAGCCUGACACCUGCCCGGUGCCGGAAGGUUAAGAGGAGAUGUCAUCCGCGAGGAGAAGCGUUGAAUUGAAGCCCCGGUAAACGGCGGCCGUAACUAUAACGGUCCUAAGGUAGCGAAAUUCCUUGUCGGGUAAGUUCCGACCUGCACGAAUGGUGUAAUGAUCUGGACACUGUCUCAACCGUGAGCUCGGUGAAAUUGUAGUAUCGGUGAAGAUGCCGAUUACCCGCGAUGGGACGAAAAGACCCCGUGAACCUUUACUAUAGCUUUACAUUGAGUUUGGGCAGACGAUGUGUAGGAUAGGCCGGAGGCAUUGAAGCAGGUACGCCAGUAUUUGUGGAGCCGACGUUGAAAUACGGCCCUUCGGUUGUUUGAGUUCUAACUCCUAGUUAGGAGGACACUGUAUGGUGGGUAGUUUGACUGGGGUGGUCGCCUCCAAAAGCGUAACGGAGGCUUCUAAAGGUGCCCUCAGACCGAUUGGUAACCGGUCGCAGAGUGUAAUGGCAUAAGGGCGCUUGACUGGGAGACAUACAAGUCGAUCAGGUAGGAAACUAGAGCAUAG
rnacentral:rRNA from 1 species